rnacentral:rRNA from 1 species
UUGCCAGCCCGCUCAGAAACUCAAAGGAAUUGACGGGGCCCGCACAAGCGGUGGAGUAUGUGGUUUAAUUCGACGCAACGCGCAGACCUUACCUGGUCUUGACAUCCCGAGAAUUUCCUGGAAACAGGAAAGUGCCUCGCAAGAGGAACUUGGUGACAGGUGCUGCAUGGCUGUCGUCAGCUCGUGUCGUGAGAUGUUGGGUUAAGUCCCGCAACGAGCGCAACCCUUGUCUUUAGUUGCCAUCAUUAAGUUGGGCACUCUAAAGAGACUGCCGGUGUCAAACCGGAGGAAGGUGGGGAUGACGUCAAGUCCUCAUGGCCUUUAUGACCAGGGCUACACACGUACUACAAUGGCAGGUACAAAGGGCAGCCACUUAGCGAUAAGGAGCGAAUCCCGUAAAACCUGUCUCAGUCCGGAUUGGAGUCUGCAACUCGACUCCAUGAAGUUGGAAUCGCUAGUAAUCGCAGAUCAGCACGCUGCGGUGAAUACGUUCCCGGGCCUU